rnacentral:lncRNA from 1 species
AAAAAGAAUCAGUGCCGCCUAUAACCGAGGAACACCAUCGUCUCUAUCUUCCUCUUGGAAGAAACAGCCUUCACCAUGGCUUGACCUCAACCAAAAUAUACAGCUUCCUCCGUUGUCAACGCAAACGACCCCAUCCGCAUCGUCUUCUCAAAGAACGACCCCUAUUUCUUCACGCACAACCAUUUUCCCAAAUCAAAAAAAAAAAAAAUUCCAGCCAUUUCACUUUUCUUCUUCAGCCUUCAAUUCUCUCGUCAGCUACGCAUAGACAUACGCAUGAAUCGAAAAACAAAAGGAGAAAUCUGGGAAGAAAGUUAGCUAACGAAAAUGGAGGUUUUGGUGUUUGAUUCGGACUCGUCCUUUUCUGGUUUUGUUAUAGUUCAUUGACGUUGGAGUUGCUGUUCAAGGUUACAUCGCCGGUUCCGUCUUAGUCUCCGAGUGACGGGUACUAUGUUUACAAACAAAAUGAGAAGCCAAAUAUGUUUACAAAGUUUUCUUCAUGGCCUUCUUCAUGGGAUCAGGUACUAUCUUAAACGAGGUCAAGCAAAAACAUUUUUAAUUAAAUAAUUGCAAAAAGGAAUUUCGUUUGUUGCACUGCUGUAUUAUACAUGAUUUUGCAUUCAGAUCAAAUAUUCCCUCUAUAGUUAGCCCAUAUCUCCAUUUGUCAUUAAAUAAAACCUUUUCAUUCCAGGCAUAAAAUCAUUAGAGCCGCAGCUGGAAGGAGCCACACAGUGGUAGUGCCUAAAGGUCAACCAGGUAUUUUCUCAAUUAUUUUAACGCUUGGGAUUAGUUUUAGAGAAUCAAAGCAUUAUGUUGUAUUAUCUCAAUAGUUUCAGCCGUGAUGUUUAAAGUUUACAAAGUGUGCAGCCCGCCUCUUGGCUUAUUGGUGUUAUCGAUAAU